AGAGUGAACGCUGGCGGUAGGCCUAACACAUGCAAGUCGAACGGCAGCACAGGAGAGCUUGCUCUCUGGGUGGCGAGUGGCGGACGGGUGAGGAAUACAUCGGAAUCUACCUUUUCGUGGGGGAUAACGUAGGGAAACUUACGCUAAUACCGCAUAAGACCUUCGGGUGAAAGCCGGGGACCUUCGGGCCUGGCGCGGAUAGAUGAGCCGAUGUCGGAUUAGCUUGUUGGCGGGUAAAAGCCACCAAGGCGACGAUCCGUAGCUGGUCUGAGAGGAUGAUCAGCCACACUGGAACUGAGACACGGUCCAGACUCCUACGGGAGGCAGCAGUGGGGAAUAUUGGACAAUGGGCGCAAGCCUGAUCCAGCCAUACCGCGUGGGUGAAGAAGGCCUUCGGUUGUAAAGCCCUUUGUUGGAAGAAAUCCUGCCGUUAAUAACCAGUAGGAUGAACGUACCAAAGAAUAAGCACGCUAACUUCGUGCCAGCAGCCGCGGUAAUCGUGA
rnacentral:rRNA from 1 species